GGGAGGCAGCAGUGGGGAAUAUUGCACAAUGGGCGAAAGCCUGAUGCAGCGACGCCGCGUGAGGGAUGAAGGCCUUCGGGUUGUAAACCUCUUUCAGCAGGGAAGAAGCGAAAGUGACGGUACCUGCAGAAGAAGCACCGGCUAACUACGUGCCAGCAGCCGCGGUAAUACGUAGGGUGCGAGCGUUGUCCGGAAUUAUUGGGCGUAAAGAGCUUGUAGGCGGUUUGUCGCGUCUGCAGUGAAAAUCCGGGGCUCAACCCCGGACUUGCUGUGGGUACGGGCAGACUAGAGUAUGGUAGGGGAGACCGGAAUUCCUGGUGUAGCGGUGGAAUGCGCAGAUAUCAGGAGGAACACCGAUGGCGAAGGCAGGUCUCUGGGCCAUAACUGACGCUGAGAAGCGAAAGCAUGGGGAGCGAACAGGAUUAGAUACCC
rnacentral:rRNA from 1 species